rnacentral:rRNA from 1 species
GAUCAUGGCUCAGGAUGAACGCUGGCGGCGUGCUUAACACAUGCAAGUCGAACGGAGUUUACUUAACAGAUUCCUUCGGGAUGACGUUUUUUAAACUUAGUGGCGGACGGGUGAGUAACGCGUGGGUAACCUGCCUUACACAGGGGGAUAGCGAGUUGGAAACGACUGGUAAUACCGCAUACCUUACAUUAUUCGCAUGUUUGAUGUAAGUAAAGAUUUUAUCGGUGUAAGAUGGACCCGCGUCUGAUUAGCUAGUUGGUG